rnacentral:pre_miRNA from 1 species
GGAGAUAUUGCACAUUACUAAGUUGCAUGUUGUCACGGGCUCAGUGCAAUUUAGUGUGUGCGAUACUUUC